rnacentral:rRNA from 1 species
AUCCAGCCAUGCCGCGUGUGUGAAGAAGGUCUUCGGAUUGUAAAGCACUUUAAGUUGGGAGGAAGGGCUUACGGUUAAUACCCGCUAAGUUUUGACGUUACCAACAGAAUAAGCACCGGCUAACUUCGUGCCAGCAGCCGCGGUAAUACGAAGGGUGCAAGCGUUAAUCGGAAUUACUGGGCGUAAAGCGCGCGUAGGUGGUUUGUUAAGUUGGAAGUGAAAGCCCCGGGCUCAACCUGGGAAUUGCUUUCAAAACUAGCAGGCUAGAGUACAGUAGAGGGUAGUGGAAU